AUUUCAGAUUUGCCUAAGAUGUACGUAGGCUCCCUGUUUUUUAGUCCACACAAACUUUCCUAGACUGAAGGCUGCAUUAUCAGUCAUGGCUUUCUCAAAGCAAGUGCUUGUUUAUUGUUGGAUAUCAGUUUUUUUGAUGCCGCUUACAACUUGUAAGGAUGAAUCAGAAGAAAGUGGACAUGAGACAGAAGAUUACGGCAGGAGAAUUCUGGAAAUUCAUGAGGGAAUAGCGUAUGAGUUUAUUCAGGAAUCCAUGCCAUGGGCUGAAGCCCAUGAGAGCUGUGAAAAACAAGGGGGGCAUCUUCUGAGGGACCUGAAUGCUGAGAUUAAGGAGCUCGUACAAACCCAGUCCACAGAAACUGGACCGUGGUGGGUCAGUCGGGAGUUGAUGUAUAAAAAGUCCAUCAGACGAUUGGGAACUGUCUCGUAUGGCAAUGUCAGUAAAGAUCACUUAGCUUGCACCUAUAUGGUCAAAGAUCCAUUUCAGCUGGUGACCACACCCCACUGCAGCAUGAGCUUUAGCUCCCUCUGCACGCGAGGUACAGAAACAAAUCACCUCUCCUCAACACAAACAUUACAUAAAACAACAUCGUUUGAUGAUGUGAAUCACAGAAAUGAGAUUGCUUACUACAAGAUUUCUUUUAACUAUGGAACAGAAUAUAAUGUAGUUAUGCCGUUACAGAUUUAAAUACACAUCUGACUUCAACUGAACCAAACAAAAGGAGCCGCAGAAGUCUUACUGACACACUGGAGUCACUAGGAAUCAAUAUAGGAUAUACUGCUCAGCUUGUGGAGGUUGGUGAGCUUUUUCAGUAAAAGAAUAGAGUCCUAUGUUUUAUUUCCGUAAAGUGGCCUCUUCAGAACUGUUUUAUGAAAGCAGGCCUCAGAAAAUAAAGGGGAAAAGGAAAGGUAGAGUUUGGGAUGA
ensembl:lncRNA